rnacentral:tRNA from 1 species
GGGUGAUUAGCUCAGCUGGGAGAGCACCUCCCUUACAAGGAGGGGGUCGGCGGUUCGCUCCCGGCAUCACCCACCA